CCCUUAGAUGUUCUGGGCCGCACGCGCGCUACACUGAUGCAUUCAACGAGUUUCUUCCUGGUCCGAGAGGAAUGGGUAACCUUUUGAAAGUGCAUCGUGAUAGGGAUAGACUAUUGCAAUUAUUGGUCUUCAACGAGGAAUUCCUAGUAGACGUAGUUCAUCAGACUGCAUCGAUUACGUCCCUGCCCUUUGUACACACCGCCCGUCGCUACUCCCGAUUGAAUGGUUUAGUGAGGCCUUCUGACUGGCGCCGCUACUCUGGCAACAGAGCGGCGGAUGCCGGGAAGUUGGUCAAACUUGAUCAUUUAGAGGAAGUAAAAGUCGUAACA
rnacentral:rRNA from 1 species